rnacentral:rRNA from 1 species
GAAGGGGGGGUGCUAAUACAUGCAAGUCGAGCGGACAGAUGGGAGCUUGCUCCCUGAUGUUAGCGGCGGACGGGUGAGUAACACGUGGGUAACCUGCCUGUAAGACUGGGAUAACUCCGGGAAACCGGGGCUAAUACCGGAUGGUUGUUUGAACCGCAUGGUUCAGACAUAAAAGGUGGCUUCGGCUACCACUUACAGAUGGACCCGCGGCGCAUUAGCUAGUUGGUGAGGUAACGGCUCACCAAGGCAACGAUGCGUAGCCGACCUGAGAGGGUGAUCGGCCACACUGGGACUGAGACACGGCCCAGACUCCUACGGGAGGCAGCAGUAGGGAAUCUUCCGCAAUGGACGAAAGUCUGACGGAGCAACGCCGCGUGAGUGAUGAAGGUUUUCGGAUCGUAAAGCUCUGUUGUUAGGGAAGAACAAGUGCCGUUCAAAUAGGGCGGCACCUUGACGGUACCUAACCAGAAAGCCACGGCUAACUACGUGCCAGCAGCCGCGGUAAUACGUAGGUGGCAAGCGUUGUCCGGAAUUAUUGGGCGUAAAGGGCUCGCAGGCGGUUUCUUAAGUCUGAUGUGAAAGCCCCCGGCUCAACCGGGGAGGGUCAUUGGAAACUGGGGAACUUGAGUGCAGAAGAGGAGAGUGGAAUUCCACGUGUAGCGGUGAAAUGCGUAGAGAUGUGGAGGAACACCAGUGGCGAAGGCGACUCUCUGGUCUGUAAACUGACGCUGAGGAGCGAAAGCGUGGGGAGCGAACAGGAUUAGAUACCCUGGUAGUCCACGCCGUAAACGAUGAGUGCUAAGUGUUAGGGGGUUUCCGCCCCUUAGUGCUGCGGCUAACGCAUUAAGCACUCCGCCUGGGGAGUACGGUCGCAGGACUUGAAACUCAAAGAAAUUUGACGGGGCCCGCACAAGCGUUGGAGCAUUUUGGUUUUAUUUCAAAGCAACGCA